rnacentral:sRNA from 2 species
AACGACGAUUGCUUUUUCCUUUCUUUUUCACUGUUUUUUCCCUUCAGCGUUUUUCUCAGAAUUAGCUUCGUAGUUGAUUUGGUGGGAGCUGAAUUGAAUUUCUCCAUGCCUGCUGAACGAGUGAGUCGUUGCUUGGCGCUCUGCGGAUUGAUUAUUCCCGUGAAGGCCGCGCAUAAAGUGGUAGAGGACUGCAAUUGCAAAUGCAUCUUCUGGGUUUCAAAUAUCCAGGAUCGAAUUUGAAUAUGGCUCUCUCCAUAUGAUUCGAGCCCGAGUCCAUAAGCAGGAUACAUCCAACGGCUGGCUUAGGACACGUUUAAAUGGAACAAUUCCAGUGAUACACGUUGAAUCCACUCUACUCUCCCAUACCGUUCAAUGGAAUAUCCCUCACGACGCACGCAAGAUUAGUUAAUCAAACUGAUAGUAGUUAUGUCCCUCCUGACAAGGUUUUUAACAUCGAAGACACCGUCUUAAAAUAUCUACUUGGUCCUGCAUGAAUGCGCAGAGCUUUAUACCCAUCUACGACUUGAUUGUCAAGUUGCUCGAACCGGUUAAAUACCUUUGCCAAUACAUAUUGCUUCCCUGACUAUCCCAUCAUGGGCAAACCUUUGCACAUGAAAUGCCCUCAGCUGAUUUAUCUGAGGUUGGGGGGUAUGCCCGCAAGGAAAACCUCGUAAUAGACUGGGCAGGAAGCGCUGGAUUUCAGCCACCAGCAGUGCUUAAUCAACAAGCCAGCAGA